rnacentral:rRNA from 1 species
CGGCGGACGGGUGAGUAACACGUGGAUAACCUACCUAUAAGACUGGGAUAACUUCGGGAAACCGGAGCUAAUACCGGAUAAUAUAUUGAACCGCACGGUUCAAUAGUGAAAGACGGUUUUGCUGUCACUUAUAGAUGGAUCCGCGCCGCAUUAGCUAGUUGGUAAGGUAACGGCUUACCAAGGCAACGAUGCAUAGCCGACCUGAGAGGGUGAUCGGCCACACUGGAACUGAGACACGGUCCAG